GCGGUAUAGGUGGAAGAGGCGGUGGAGGAGGCGGAUGAGGUAGCCAACACUGUUUUUUAUAUAUAUAUAUAUUUUAUUUUAUUUUUUUAUUGGGGUAGCCCCCAAAAUAUUGGGACAUAUAAAAAAGACUCUGUUCCGCAGAGUAGCUGUUGACAUUAUAGUUGCGCAGGCACUUUGUUGACUCUAGAGAACCUCGGGCCAAUCGCACAUCCCCGUGACGGCGACUUUGCAUUUGGAUGUCAUCCAUAUCAACUUUUGAUGCCAGUUUCUGCGCCUACCAUGGUGACCACGGAGAAUCAGGGUUCCAUUCCGUACAGGGACCCUGAGAAAUGGCUACCACAUGCAAGGAAGGCAGCAGGCGUGCAAAUAACCCACUCCCGACGCGGGAAGGUAGUGAC
rnacentral:rRNA from 1 species